UACGUAGGGUGCAAGCGUUAAUCGGAAUUACUGGGCGUAAAGCGUGCGCAGGCGGUUGGGCAAGACAGAUGUGAAAUCCCCGGGCUUAACCUGGGAACUGCAUUUGUGACUGUACGGCUGGAGUGCGGCAGAGGGGGAUGGAAUUCCGCGUGUAGCAGUGAAAUGCGUAGAUAUGCGGAGGAACACCGAUGGCGAAGGCAAUCCCCUGGGCCUGCACUGACGCUCAUGCACGAAAGCGUGGGGAGCAAACAGG
rnacentral:rRNA from 1 species